CCACCUUCCACGAUCUCGCGAGACUUGGCCUAGAACAUUGCGGAUCGGGUCGGCGCCAUUUUGGGACUGAGACUGGUUGUGGGGGAGGGAAAAGCGGUAAAAGGGGAUUAUUCAAAGUACCGAAAACCUCCUCCCGGAUCGAGCGCAGCGGCAUCCCCAGGCCAGGGGCACCUCUGGUGGGGCGGAAGGUGAUUGAAUUAUGCAAAUAUGAAGAUCAUCUUCUAGGUUUUGUUUAAAAGGCCCUGGAUAUUUCAAGUGGCCAUUUUGGAAUUACAGUUUUGUUUUGGGGUUUUGUUUUAUUAUUUUUGGGGUAAUUUUGCCCCAGAAGUUUAUUAAAAUUGUCAAGAAUCAUCUCUGAAGUGAACUGAUAGUAGUGAACAAGUUCUACGAGCUACUUAAAAAGAGAUCCAGUCAUUUCUUCAGUGUUUUGGUUCAAACGGAUUAUAUAACUGGUUAAAGUAUUUCGUCUGGCGGUAUUUUUUUCCUCUUCCACCACCCCUCUCCUGUUGCUGUUCUUCGGCCAAAACUGUAAGAUAAGUUUGAUUUGUGUCCUGAGUAGUUGCAGUAGUUUCAAAUUACUGUUUAAAUAUUGCUGAAGUUUCAUGGCAGUUACUUUUUAACCUUUAUUAAAAGUUUUAGUAAUUUUUGACCUCAGCUCUUCAUAUUACAAUGGGACAGUUUUUCUAAAUGAAGACAUUGAAAGAAUACAGAGUUUUUUUCUUUUUAUCUUUUAUUUACUUGGGAAUUUAAGAUGUUCCAGUUUCCCACCAGCAUGGUAGUAUUGAGAUAGCUCUUUGUGUCUCUGUAUAUGCCGAUGUGUAGAAGUAGUCUUCAGAUGUGAAAUUUUCUUUUUGUUUCUGCUUUUUUGGCUCCUAAAUUGGAUAUUUCAUCUGGAGUGGAUAAAUACAACAGUGACAAGUACAUGGAAUAAUAAAGAAGACUUUGCUCUUGAUCCAAGAACUUGGAUAAUUCUGGAGAUAGCCCUAUGAAAACUUCAAAACAGAAAUAUGGGUAGCUGACUUCAAAUAACUCUAUGUCAAAUAGUCAUAGGUUAAGUAUCUUCAAAGAACUUGGAUAUUUCAGAGGAUACAAAAUAAAAAGACAAACUGGAAAACAUAAAGAUUAUAGAGAAAAAACCAACACCUUCCUGUGCGGUCCUGUUGGAAUUUGGACUUGCCAUGAGGUGUUGAAGCCUUGUUUCACUGAGUUGGAGAGACUGGACCUAAAUGGCGCAGUAUGACUUUGCUCCAGCCUGGCUUAAUUUUCCUACUCCGCCAUCAUCAACAAAGUCAUCAUUGAAUUUUGAAAAGCAUUCUGAAAACUUUUCAUGGACAGAGAAUCGUUAUGAUGUGAGUCGCCAACGACACACUCUUCAGAUGGCUUUGAUUCUGGUAUUGGGCGUCCUAAUGGAGGUAAUUUUGGGAGGAAAGAAAAAAAUGGAUGGCGUACGCAUGGCAGAAAUGCUACUGAAAACAUAAAUCAUCGAGGGGGAUACCAUGGUGGAAAUUCCCGUUCUCGUAGCAGUAUUUUCCAUUCUGGAAAAAGCCAAGGACUACAUGAAAACAGCAUCCCUGACAAUGACACUGGGAGGAAAGAAGACAAAAGAGAACGAAAACAGUUUGAGGCUGAGGAUUUUCCAUCUUUAAAUCCUGAAUAUGAAAGAGAACCAAAUCAGAAUAAAUCUUUAGCUGCAGGUGUUUGGGGCCUACACGCCCAGACACACACAUACCCAACCAAAAAAAUCUCCCAAGCUCCUCUCUUAGAAUAUCCCCCGAAUCCUAAAUCUAGAGCUCCAAGAAUGCUAGUCAUUAAGAAAGGUAAUGCAAAAGACUUACAAUUAUCUGUAUUCCCAGUAGCAGGAAACCUCCAGUCACAGCCAGUAAAGAAUGGAACUGGUCCAAGUGUUUAUAAAGGCUUAGUCCCAAAACCUGCUGCUCCACCUACAAAACCUACACAAUGGAAAAGCCAAACUAAAGAAAAUAAAGUCGGAACUUCUUUUCCUCAUGAAUCUACAUAUGGUGUUGACAACUUUAAUACCUUUAAGUCAACAGCCAAGAAUAUCAGUCCAUCAACAAAUUCAGUAAAAGAGAGUAAUCGCUCAAAUUCCUCCUUGCCUGUUGACAAACUUAAUCAGCAACCUCGAUUAACCAAACUGACACGGAUGCGCACUGAUAGGAAGAGUGAAUUUUUGAAAGCAUUGAAAAGAGACAGAGUAGAAGAGGAACAUGAAGACGAGAGCCAUGCUGGCUCAAAAAUCAGGAUGAAGACUCGUUUAAUUUGCAUAACAGCAAUAGUACUCACCAAGAAAGAGACAUAAAUAGAAACUUUGAUGAAAAUGAGAUUGCACAAGAGAAUGGCAAUGCCUCAAUGAUUUCCCAACAGAUCAUUCGGUCUUCAACCUUCCUACAAACUGAUGUUCUUUCCAGUUCACUUGAGGCAGAACACAGGUUAGUAAUUAUUUUCACUUUUCCUCUGGCAUUUUCUGUAUUCAAGAUAUUAUUAUAG